ACCGGCGCACGGGUGCGUAACGCGUAUGUAAUCUACCUUGUACAGGGGAAUAGCCCAGAGAAAUUUGGAUUAAUGCCCCAUAGUAUAUAACCUUCGCAUGUUGGUUAUAUUAAAGUUCCAACGGUACAAGAUGAGCAUGCGUCCCAUUAGUUAGUUGGUAAGGUAACGGCUUACCAAGACGAUGAUGGGUAGGGGUCCUGAGAGGGAGAUCCCCCACACUGGUACUGAGACACGGACCAGACUCCUACGGGAGGCAGCAGUGAGGAAUAUUGGUCAAUGGUCGCAAGACUGAACCAGCCAUGCCGCGUGCAGGAAGACGGUCCUAUGGAUUGUAAACUGCUUUUAUACAGGAAGAAACCCUCCCACGUGUGGGAGCUUGACGGUACUGUAGGAAUAAGGAUCGGCUAACUCCGUGCCAGCAGCCGCGGUAAUACGGAGGAUCCAAGCGUUAUCCGGAAUCAUUGGGUUUAAAGGGUCCGUGGGCGGUCUUAUAAGUCAGUGGUGAAAGCCCAUCGCUCAACGAUGGAACUGCCAUUGAUACUGUAAGACUUGAAUGCUUAGGAAGUAACUAGAAUAUGUAGUGUAGCGGUGAAAUGCUUAGAUAUUACAUGGAAUACCAAUUGCGAAGGCAGGUUACUACUAAGUGAUUGACGCUGAUGGACGAAAGCGUGGGGAGCGAACAGGAUUAGAUACCCUGGUA
rnacentral:rRNA from 1 species